ncrna:unclassified sequences RT-6 RNA
UACCUUACAAGUAGUUGUAAGGGAUGGAGAUUGUUGUCAACAGUUCUGUAACCAACUCAUAAGAGAAGGUCGG